GUUCUUGCUUCUAUAAAACAUACACUAAAAUUGGAAUAAUAUGGAAAAGAUUAACUUGGAUCCUGUACAAGGAUGACAUGCAAAUUUAUAAAGCAUUUCAUAUUUUA